rnacentral:rRNA from 1 species
UUUUCCGGUUGAUCCUGCCGGACCUGACUGCUAUCGGAUUGAUACUAAGCCAUGCGAGUCAUUGUAGCAAUACAAGGCAGACGGCUCAGUAACACGUAGUCAAUCUACCCUAUGGACGGGGAUAACCUCGGGAAACUGAGAAUAAUACCCGAUAGAUCAUUAUGCCUGGAAUGGUUUAUGGUCCAAAUGAUUUAUCGCCAUAGGAUGGGACUGCGGUCUAUCAGCUUGUUGGUGAGGUAAUGGCCCACCAAGGCUAUAACAGAUACGGGCUCUGAGAGGAGAAGCCCGGAGAUGGGUACUGAGACACGGACCCAGGCCCUAUGGGGCGCAGCAGGCGAGAAAACUUUGCAAUGUGCGAAAGCACGACAAGGUUAAUCCGAGUGGUUCCUGCUAAAGGAAUCUUUUGUCAGUCCUAAAAACACUGACGGAUAAGGGGUGGGCAAGUUCUGGUGUCAGCCGCCGCGGUAAAACCAGCACCUCAAGUGGUCAGGAGGAUUAUUGGGCCUAAAGCAUCCGUAGCCGGCCGUGUAAGUUUUCGGUUAAAUCCAUAUGCUUAACAUAUGGGCUGCCGGGAAUACUGCACAGCUAGGGAGUGGGAGAGGUAGACGGUACUCGAUAGGAAGGGGUAAAAUCCUUUGAUCUAUUGAUGACCACCUGUGGCGAAGGCGGUCUACUAGAACACGUCCGACGGUGAGGGAUGAAAGCUGGGGGAGCAAACCGGAUUAGAUACCCGGGUAGUCCCAGCCGUAAACAAUGCAAACUCAGUGAUGCACUGGAUUGUGUCCAGUGCAGUGCCGCAGGGAAGCCGUUAAGUUUGCCGCCUGGGAAGUACGUACGCAAGUAUGAAACUUAAAGGAAUUGGCGGGGGAGCACCACAAGGGGUGAAGCCUGCGGUUCAAUUGGAGUCAACGCCGGGAAU